GACUGAGACACGGCCCAGACUCCUACGGGAGGCAGCAGUGGGGAAUCUUGCGCAAUGCGCGAAAGCGUGACGCAGCAACGCCGCGUGGGGGAAGAAGGCUUUCGGGUUGUAAACCCCUUUCAGUUGGGACGAAGCUUCUCCGGUGAAUAGCCGGAUGGAGUGACGGUACCUUCACAAGAAGCACCGGCUAACUACGUGCCAGCAGCCGCGGUAAUACGUAGGGUGCAAGCGUUGUCCGGAAUUAUUGGGCGUAAAGAGCGUGUAGGCGGCCCCAUUAGUCCGCUGUGAAAGUCCAGGGCUCAACCCUGGAAUGCCGGUGGAUACUGUGGGGCUAGAGUCCGGAAGGGGCGAGUGGAAUUCCUGGUGUAGCGGUGAAAUGCGCAGAUAUCAGGAGGAACACCAAUGGCGAAGGCAGCUCGCUGGGACGGUACUGACGCUGAGACGCGAAAGCGUGGGGAGCAAACAGGAUUAGAUACCCUGGUAGUCCACGCUGUAAACGAUGACAACUAGAUGUGGGGGGUGUCGACUCCCCCCGUGUCGAAGCUAACGCAUUAAGUUGUCCGCCUGGGGAGUACGGCCGCAAGGCUAAAACUCAAAGGAAUGACG
rnacentral:rRNA from 1 species